GGGGAAUAUUGCGCAAUGGGGGAAACCCUGACGCAGCGACGCCGUGUGAGGGAAGAAGGCUUUCGGGUCGUAAACCUCUGUCGGGAAGGAAGAACCCCCCAGGUCCGAAUAGGGCCUGGGGCUGACGGUACUUCCAAAGGAAGCACCGGCUAACUCCGUGCCAGCAGCCGCGGUAAUACGGAGGGUGCAAGCGUUAUCCGGAUUUAUUGGGUUUAAAGGGAGCGUAGGCGGACUAUUAAGUCAGCUGUGAAAGUUUACGGCUCAACCGUGAAAUUGCAGUUGAAACUGGUCGUCUUGAGUGCAGUAAAGGUGGGCGGAAUUCGUGGUGUAGCGGUGAAAUGCUUAGAUAUCACGAAGAACACCGAUGGCGAAGGCAGCCUCCUGGGACAUAACUGACGCUGAUGCUCGAAAGCGUGGGGAGCAAACA
rnacentral:rRNA from 1 species